rnacentral:misc_RNA from 1 species
GAAUGGAAUGGCUUUCUUUGAUCCAUCUAGGCCUCAAGAUUUUAUCUUCAUUUCAGGCACCAAGAUGCGAACUCUUGCAAAGACCAAGGAGAGCCCUCCAGACGGAUUUAUGUGCCCCGGUGGUUGGAAGGUUUUGGUGGAAUACUAUGAUAGUUUGGAUCAAGCUGAAAAUGGCGGAGUUUCCGAACCUGUUCCUGCAUGAAUGCAUCAUCAUUGAGUAAGUGAAUUACAGCAUGUUUGGGUAGAAAAAUCAACAAUUUUCUCCCCAGCAUGUGUCUGAAGA